rnacentral:rRNA from 1 species
GUGGGGAAUAUUGGACAAUGGGCGCAAGCCUGAUCCAGCCAUGCCGCGUGAGUGAUGAAGGCCCUAGGGUUGUAAAGCUCUUUCACCGGAGAAGAUAAUGACGGUAUCCGGAGAAGAAGCCCCGGCGAACUUCGUGCCAGCAGCCGCGGUAAUACGAAGGGGGCUAGCGUUGUUCGGAAUUACUGGGCGUAAAGCGCACGUAGGCGGACAUUUAAGUCAGGGGCGAAAUCCCGGAGCUCAACUCCGGAACUGCCUUUGAUACUGGGUGUCUGGAGUAUGGAAGAGGUGAGUGGAAUUCCGAGUGUAGAGGUGAAAUUCGUAGAUAUUCGGAGGAACACCAGUGGCGAAGGCGGCUCACUGGUCCAUUACUGACGCUGAGGUGCGAAAGCGUGGGGAGCAAACAGGAUUAGAUACCCGAGUAGUCC